GGCGAACGCUGGCGGCGCGCUUAACACAUGCAAGUCGAACGGAAAGGCCUGCUUUCCCUUGUGGAUUGCGGGUACUCGAGUGGCGAACGGGUGAGUAACACGUGAGUGAUCUGCCCCCAACUUGGGUAUAAGCCUGGGAAACUGGGUCUAAUUCCCGAUAGGACUGCAGGGUGGUGCCUGUGGUGGAAAACGAUUUUCUAGUGGUUGGGGAUGAGCUCGCGGCCUAUCAGCUUGUUGGUGGGGUAAUGGCCUACCAAGGCGGCGACGGGUAGCCGGCCUGGGAGGGUGGACGGCCACAUUGGGACUGAGAUACGGCCCAGACUCCUACGGGAGGCAGCAGUGGGGAAUAGUGCACAAUGGGCGGAAGCCUGAUGCAGCGACGCCGCGUGGGGGAUGACGGCCUUCGGGUUGUAAACUCCUUUCGACCGCGAGGAAGCCACCUGGUUGGAAGGGUGGUGACGGUAGUGGUAGAAGAAGCACCGGCUAACUACGUG
rnacentral:rRNA from 1 species